rnacentral:rRNA from 1 species
GACGAACGCUGUCGGCGUGCUUAACACAUGCAAGUCGAACGGACUUAUUCUGCUUUUGUCCGGUUCUUUAGUGGCGAACGGGUGAGUAACACGUGGGUAUCUUGCCCUUGAUACUGGGUUACCUUUAGGAAUCUAAGGCUAUAACGUGUUAUCUCUUCCUGCUGAAGAUUUAUCGCUGGGGGAUGAGCCCGCGUCAGAUUAGGUUCUUGGUUUGGUAACUGCUAACCAAGCUGACGAUCUGUAGCUGGUUUGAGAGGAGGAUAAGCCACACCGGGAAUGAGACACGGCCCAGACUCGUACGGGAGGCAGCAGUGGGGAAUAUUGGACAAUGGGCGAAAGCCUGAUCCAGCAAUACCGAGUGAGUGAUAAAGGCCCUAGGGUUGUAAAGCUCUUUUAGCAAGGAAGAUAAUGACGGUACUUGCAGAAAAAGCCCCGGCUAACUCCGUG